rnacentral:rRNA from 1 species
AACGAACGCUGGCGGCACGCCUAACACAUGCAAGUCGAACGAUCCCUUCGGGGCUAGUGGCGCACGGGUGCGUAACGCGUGGGAACCUGCCCUUAGGUUCGGAAUAACUCAGAGAAAUUUGAGCUAAUACCGGAUAAUGUCUUCGGACCAAAGAUUUAUCGCCUUUGGAUGGGCCCGCGUUGGAUUAGCUAGUUGGUGGGGUAAAGGCCUACCAAGGCGACGAUCCAUAGCUGGUCUGAGAGGAUGAUCAGCCACACUGGGACUGAGACACGGCCCAGACUCCUACGGGAGGCAGCAGUGGGGAAUAUUGGACAAUGGGCGAAAGCCUGAUCCAGCAAUGCCGCGUGAGUGAUGAAGGCCUUAGGGUUGUAAAGCUCUUUUACCCGGGAUGAUAAUGACAGUACCGGGAGAAUAAGCCCCGGCUAACUCCGUG